ACAAGCGGUGGAGUAUGUGGUUUAAUUCGAUGCAACGCGAAGAACCUUACCUGGUCUUGACAUCCCGGAGACCCUUAGGAAACUAGGGGUGCUUCCAUCUGGAAGAAUCUGGAGACAGGUGCUGCAUGGCUGUCGUCAGCUCGUGUCGUGAGAUGUUGGGUUAAGUCCCGCAACGAGCGCAACCCUUGCCUUUAGUUGCCAGCAGUUCGGCUGGGCACUCUAAAGGGACUGCCGGUGUUAAACCGGAGGAAGGUGGGGAUGACGUCAAGUCCUCAUGGCCUUUAUGACCAGGGCUACACACGUACUACAAUGGCCGAUACAAAGGGCAGCGACACUGCGAGGUGAAGCCAAUCCCGUAAAAUCGGUCUCAGUCCGGAUUGGAGUCUGCAACUCGACUCCAUGAAGUUGGAAUCGCUAGUAAUCGUGGAUCAGCAUGCCACGGUGAAUACGUUCCCGGGCCCU
rnacentral:rRNA from 1 species